rnacentral:snRNA from 1 species
CCUCCCGGGAAGUCCUCGUGU